rnacentral:rRNA from 1 species
CCAGCAGCUGCGGUAAUUCCAGCUCCAAUAGCGUAUAUUAAAGUUGUUGCAGUUAAAAAGCUCGUAGUUGGAUUUCUGGUAUGGUGCGCCUGGCCCACGGUUGCAAAACCGCGAGUGUCGGUGUGCGCCUGCCAUCUUUCUAGUUAACUGGACGCACUUAACUGGGCGGUCAGCGAUCUAGUUCUUUUACUUUGAAAAAAUUAGAGUGUUUAAAGCAGGCUUGCGCUAUGAAUACAUUAGCAUGGAAUAAUAAUUUAGGACUUUGCUUCUAUUUUAUUGGUUUCUAGGAGUUAAGUAAUGAUUGAUAGGGAUAGUUGGGGGUGCUAGUAUUCAUCGGCCAGAGGUGAAAU